rnacentral:rRNA from 1 species
CCGUAGCCCCAUAGUCUGGGAUACCACUUGGAAACAGGUGCUAAUACCGGAUAAGAAAGCAGAUCGCAUGAUCAGCUUUUAAAAGGCGGCGUAAGCUGUCGCUAUGGGAUGGCCCCGCGGUGCAUUAGCUAGUUGGUAAGGUAAAGGCUUACCAAGGCGAUGAUGCAUAGCCGAGUUGAGAGACUGAUCGGCCACAUUGGGACUGAGACACAGCCCAA